UACGAAGGGGGCUAGCGUUGCUCGGAAUCACUGGGCGUAAAGCGCACGUAGGCGGACUCUUAAGUCGGUGGUGAAAUCCUGGAGCUCAACUCCAGAACUGCCUUCGAUACUGGGAGUCUCGAGUUCGGGAGAGGUGAGUGGAACUGCGAGUGUAGAGGUGAAAUUCGUAGAUAUCGUAAGGAAGACCAGUGGCGAAGGCGGGUCUCUGGACAGUUCCUGACACUGAGGCACGAAGGCCAGGGGAGCAAACGGG
rnacentral:rRNA from 1 species